rnacentral:rRNA from 1 species
GGCGAGUGAACAGGGAAAAGCCCAAAUUUGUAAUCUGGCACUUUUUACAAGUGUCCGAGUUGUAAUUUGUAGAGCUGUUAUCCGUACUGGACCAUGUACAAGUCUGUUGAAAAGCAGCAUCAUUGAAGGUGAAAAUCCUGUAGAUGAUAUGGACUACCAGUAUAUUUGUGAUACGGUUUCUAAGAGUCGAGUUGUUUGGGAAUGCAGCUCACAGUGGGUGGUAAAUUCCAUCUAAGGCUAAAUAUAAGUGAGAGACCGAUAGCAAACAAGUACCGUGAGGGAAAGAUGAAAAGAACUUUGAAAAUAGAGUUAACAGUACGUGAAAUUGCUGAAAGGGAAACGUUUGAAGUUAGUUUUGUAUUCGUUGGAUCAGCUUCGCAAGGAGUGUAUUCUGAUGAUAAGCAAGUCAACAUCAGUCUAUGAGUGUUGGAUAAGGGUUUUGAGAAUGUAGCAAUUUAAUUGUGUUAUAGCUUGAGACUUGGAUACAAUGCUUUGGAUUGAGGAACGCGUAGUAAGCUUUGAGCGGAUUCGAAAGGAUCUCCUUACUAUGGAUGUUGGUGAAAUAACUUU